UUUAUACCAAUAUAUCUGCUUUCUUUCUUGAGUGUGUGAGUGGCUGUCUGGCGACUGGCGAGGCUAUGAUGAUAUAUUCUUUGAGCUUGAAAAGUUGGACUCGAGGUGAAAUACUCAAUUUCUUGGCAAGGCAACCUUUUGUUGUUGCAGCGCCGAUGUUGUGGUGUUUCUGUCCUGUCCAAUUGGAAGGCAUAUCUGAUCUGAGCCAUCUCUUUCUCCAGAUUUCUCUAUUUCUGCUUGGGCAUCCAUCCUCUACAGUCUCUGACUCUUCAAUUUCUUCGAUUUUUGUUCUGUUAUUUUUUUUUUCUAAAAUGAAAAAUUGGCAAUUGCUUUUGCAUGAAAUAUGUUUACCUUAAGAUGUCUGUGUGAAUGGUUUAAGUACGAGGCUUUGCUCUCAGUGAGAGGUGGUUGUUUAAGGGUGGUUGACCCAGUGCUCUCUGAUAGCUAGCGGAGCCGGUGACUACUGACUAUGUUUCUUAUGUUGGCGAACUUUGGGUGGGUGAUUCGGGAGCUUCUGAUUUUUAGCUCUUUUGUGUUGUUCAAUCUUCUGCUUGAAAAAGGCGAAUGUGAGCCUGCUUUCAUAAGCUUAAAUGAAGCUUGGCUUUAGAUUUCUUUGUGGGGUCACCUGUGAGCUUCUGAAUUUGAGCUAUUUUGUGAUAUUCAAUCUUCUGCUUGAAAAAGGCGAAUGUGAGCCUGCUUUCAUAAGCUUAAAUGAAGCUUGGCUUUAGAUUUCUUUGUGGGGUCACCUGUGAGCUUCUGAAUUUGAGCUAUUUUGUGAUAUUCAAUCUUCUGCUUGACAAUAUGCUAAUUUGAGCCUCCUUUUAUAUGCUUAAAUCAAGGCUGGCUUUAUUUUGCUUUUGGUGGGUGACUCGUGAGCUACUGAUUUUGAGCUCCUUUUUCAUGUUCAAUCUUCUGCUUGAAAAAGGCGAAUAUUAGCCUCCUUUUAUACAUAAAUAAAGGUUGGGUUUAUUUUUACAUUCUGUUAAUGUUGUUCGUAUGUGAAAGGUCGGCUUUGGUGAACUUUGGGGAAAGGCCACUUGUGAGCUUCUAAUAUUGAGCUCUUUUCCAAUGUUCAAUCUUCUGCUUGAAAAAGGCAAAUAUGAGUCUCAUUUUAUAUGCUUAAAUCAAGGUUGGCUUUUGUUUUACAUUUGAUGAACGUCGUUGGUAUGUGAAUAAAGUUUUGCAUACUUUUGAUCCUUUUUUCUCAUGUUGGCAACAGCCCUUAUACCAAUAUAUCUGCUUUCUUUCUUGUGUGUGUGAGUGGCUGUCUGGUGAGCUUUGGGUGGGUGACUCAUGAGCUUUUGAUUGUGAGCUCUUUUGUGAUGUUCAAUCUUCUGCUUGAAAAAGGCGAAUCGGAGCCUCCUUUUAUAUGCUUAAACCAAAGUUGGCUUGAGUUUACUUUGGUUGGGUGACUCGUGAGCUUCUGAUUUUGAGCUUUUUUGUGAUCUUCAAUCUCCUGCUUGAAAAAGGCAAAUCUGAGCCUCGCUAAAAUCAAGGUCGGCUUUAGAUUGCCUUGGGUGGGUGACUCGUGAGCUUUUGAUUUUGAGCUCUUUUAUGAUGUUCAAUCUUCUGCUUUAAAAAAGGCAAAUCUGAGCCUCCUUUUAUAUGCUUAAAUCAAGGUCGGCUUUAGAUUGCUUUGGGGGGUGACUCGCGAGCUUCUGAUUUUGAGCUAUUUUGAGAUAUUCAAUAUUCUGCAUGAAAAAGGUGAAUUUGAGCCUCCUUUUAUAUGAUUAAAUCAAGGUUGGCUUUAGUUUGCUUUGGGUGGGUGACUCUGUGAGCUUCUGAUUUUGAGCUCUUUUGUGACAUUCAAUCUUCUGCUUGAAAAAGGCGAAUCUUAGCCUCCUUUUAUAUGCUUAAAAUAAAGGUCGGCUUUAGUUUUACAUUCGGUGAAUGUUGUUGGCACGUGAAUGAAGUUUUGCAUAAUUUUAAUAUUUGUUUCUCAUGUUGGCAACAGCCCUUAUACCAAUAUAUCUGCUUUCUUUCUUGUGUGUGUGAGUGGCUGUUUGGCGCACUUUGCGUGGGUGACCCGUGAGCUUCUGAUGUUGUGCUCUUUUGUGAUGUUCAAGCUCUGCUUGAAAAAUAUGAAUCUGUGACCCUUUCAAUAUCCUUAAAUCAAGGUCGGCUUUAGUGAACUUUGGUUGGGUG
rnacentral:lncRNA from 1 species